GCGAACGGGAUUAGAUACCCUGGUAGUCCACGCUGUAAACGAUGUCGAUUUGGAGGUUGUGCCCUUGAGGCGUGGCUUCCGGAGCUAACGCGUUAAAUCGACCGCCUGGGGAGUACGGCCGCAAGGUUAAAACUCAAAUGAAUUGACGGGGGCCGGCACAAGCGGUGGAGCAUGUGGUUUAAUUCGAUGCAACGCGAAGAACCUUACCUACUCUUGACAUCCAGAGAACUUAGCAGAGAUGCUUUGGUGCCUUCGGGAACUCUGAGACAGGUGCUGCAUGGCUGUCGUCAGCUCGUGUUGUGAAAUGUUGGGUUAAGUCCCGCAACGAGCGCAACCCUUAUCCUUUGUUGCCAGCGGUUCGGCCGGGAACUCAAAGGAGACUGCCAGUGAUAAACUGGAGGAAGGUGGGGAUGACGUCAAGUCAUCAUGGCCCUUACGAGUAGGGCUACACACGUGCUACAAUGGCAUAUACAAAGAGAAGCGACCUCGCGAGAGCAAGCGGACCUCAUAAAGUAUGUCGUAGUCCGGAUUGGAGUCUGCAACUCGACUCCAUGAAGUCGGAAUCGCUAGUAAUCGUAGAUCAGAAUGCUACGGUGAAUACGUUCCCGGGCCUUGUACACACCGCCCGUCACACCAUGGGAGUGGGUUGCAAAAGAAGUAGGUAGCUUAACCUUCGGGAGGGCGCUUACCACUUUGUGAUUCAUGACUGG
rnacentral:rRNA from 1 species